AAAGGUAAGCUACUAAGAGCGAAUGGUGGAUGCCUUGACUGGUAAAGGCGAUGAAGGACGUACUAGACUGCGAUAAGCUACGGGGAGCUGUCAAGAAGCUUUGAUCCGUAGAUUUCCGAAUGGGGCAACCCAAUGUAUAGAGAUAUACAUUACCUAUAUAGGAGCGAACGAGGGGAAUUGAAACAUCUUAGUACCCUCAGGAAAAGAAAUCAAUAGAGAUUGCGUCAGUAGCGGCGAGCGAAAGCGCAAGAGGGCAAACCCAGUGCUUGCACUGGGGGUUGUAGGACUGCAAUGUGCAAGAGCUGAGUUUAGCAGAACAUUCUGGAAAGUAUA
rnacentral:rRNA from 1 species